UUACGCACAAUACUUGUCAAACAUUUUAAUAGGCUCUAGUGAAGUAGAUUCACUUCCUAUUUUAACAGAGCUAAGCUCUUGCAGUUGGAACAGGUGUAUGGUCAUCAUCAUCUCUUCGCUUAGUUGGUGCCUGGGGCCGCUGCAGUUGACUUUGAGCGAUGUUUCUGGCUCUUCAUUAUCCGGACUGCAUAUAAUAUGUACUUGUGCCCUUACUUCAGCAUCA